rnacentral:lncRNA from 1 species
CCCCUGCAAGUCUAAUACUCUGCCUGUCAAUCUCAAAAUACAUCCCUCAAGCUGCUCAAUGCGUACUGACUGAUCUGUAAGCAUCUGAAAAAUAGAAGAAAUGUGAGGGAUCAGAGUCUGGUCUGAGUCAUCCUAGGAUAUCGAUCUCUGAGCAAAUACUGAAGUGGCAAACUGUUGAGAUAAAAUGGAGGCAACACACUGGGACAUCAUCUCAAUC